UGCUGGAGCGAAUAGAAGUGAGCAUGCAGGCAUGAGUAGCGAUAAUUAAUGUGAGAAUCAUUAACGCCGUAAACCCAAGGUUUCCUACGCGAUGCUCGUCAUCGUAGGGUUAGUCGGGUCCUAAGUCGAGUCCGAAAGGGGUAGACGAUGGCAAAUUGGUUAAUAUUCCAAUACCAACAUUAGUGUGCGAUGGAAGGACGCUUAGGGCUAAGGGGGCUAGCGGAUGGAAGUGCUAGUCUAAGGUCGUAGGAGGUUAUACAGGCAAAUCCGUAUAACAUACUCCGAGAACUGAAAGGCUUUUUGAAGUCUUCGGAUGGAUAGAAGAACCCCUGAUGCCGUCGAGCCAAGAAAAGUUUCUAAGUUUAGCUAAUGUUGCCCGUACCGUAAACCGACACAGGUGGGUGGGAUGAGUAUUCUAAGGCGCGUGGAAGAACUCUCUUUAAGGAACUCUGCAAAAUAGCACCGUAUCUUCGGUAUAAGGUGUGGUUCGCUUCGUAUUAGGAUUUACUCCGAAAGCGAAGAAACUUACAACAAAGAGUCCCUCCCGACUGUUUACCAAAAACACAGCACUCUGCUAACUCGUAAGAGGAUGUAUAGGGUGUGACGCCUGCCCGGUGCUCGAAGGUUAAUUGAUGGGGUUAGCAUUAGCGAAGCUCUUGAUCGAAGCCCGAGUAAACGGCGGCCGUAACUAUAACGGUCCUAAGGUAGCGAAAUUCCUUGUCGGUUAAAUACCGACCUGCAUGAAUGGCGUAACGAGAUGGGAGCUGUCUCAAAGAGGGAUCCAGUGAAAUUGUAGUGGAGGUGAAAAUUCCUCCUACCCGCGGCAAGACGGAGAGACCCCGUGGACCUUUACUACAGCUUGACACUGCUAUUUGGAUAAGAAUGUGCAGGAUAGGUGGGAGGCUUUGAGUAUAUGACGCCAGUUGUAUAUGAGCCAUUGUUGAGAUACCACUCUUUCUUAUUUGGGUAGCUAACCAGCUUGAGUUAUCCUCAAGUGGGACAAUGUCUGGUGGGUAGUUUGACUGGGGCGGUCGCCUCCCAAAUAAUAACGGAGGCUUACAAAGGUUGGCUCAGAACGGUUGGAAAUCGUUCGUAGAGUAUAAAGGUAUAAGCCAGCUUAACUGCAAGACAUACAAGUCAAGCAGAGACGAAAGUCGGUCUUAGUGAUCCGGUGGUUCUGUGUGGAAGGGCCAUCGCUCAAAGGAUAAAAGGUACCCCGGGGAUAACAGGCUGAUCUCCCCCAAGAGCUCACAUCGACGGGGAGGUUUGGCACCUCGAUGUCGGCUCAUCGCAUCCUGGGGCUGGAGCAGGUCCCAAGGGUAUGGCUGUUCGCCAUUUAAAGCGGUACGCGAGCUGGGUUCAGAACGUCGUGAGACAGUUCGGUCCCUAUCUGCCGUGGGCGUAAGAAGAUUGAAGAGAUUUGACCCUAGUACGAGAGGACCGGGUUGAACAAACCACUGGUGUAGCUGUUGUUCUGCCAAGAGCAUCGCAGCGUAGCUAAGUUUGGAAAGGAUAAACGCUGAAAGCAUCUAAGCGUGAAGCCAACUCUAAGAUGAAUCUUCUCUAAGCUCUCUAGAAGACUACUAGUUUGAUAGGCUGGGUGUGUAAUGGAUGAAAGUCCUUUAGCUGACCAGUACUAAUAGAGCGUUUGGCUUAUCUUUAAUAAAGCAU
rnacentral:rRNA from 1 species